AACGCACAUUGCGCUUCUUGGCAUUCCGGGAAGCAUGCCCGUUUCAGAAUCAUUUGAACAUAUCAUCGUCUGUUCUGAGAGCUGGCGAAAAUGCAAGUUUUUGCUGCUUUCAUGAACCGUCGACGAAUCUGGAUGUCUGAUUUGUCGCAGCCCCUAGUGUUUGCAAUAUGUCAGAUGUCUGCAACCUAUGUUACUUGCCAGUCGUUGGUGGAGAAUUUGGCAAAUGAAAAGAGCAACAGAAAAACAACUCUAUUCUCUUCUCCAUUUGCUGCUGCACACAAUGACAUGAAGUAGCAAGUUUUUGUGCUUGUUUGCGCUCAGGCUUCCCUAAGUGCAGGCACGCACACAACAGGGGGCACCCCAACAUGGUGUUUUCUGUGUACUUGGUCUGAAAUCGGGCAGGAAAACCCGCUGAACUUAA
rnacentral:misc_RNA from 1 species